rnacentral:rRNA from 1 species
GAUGAACGCUGGCGGCGUGCUUAACACAUGCAAGUCGAACGGGCUCAUAUUGAAACCUAGUGAUGUAUGAGUUAGUGGCGGACGGGUGAGUAACGCGUGGAGAACCUGCCGUAUACUGGGGGAUAACACUUAGAAAUAGGUGCUAAUACCGCAUAAGCGCACAGCUUCGCAUGAAGCAGUGUGAAAAACUCCGGUGGUAUACGAUGGAUCCGCGUCUGAUUAGCUGGUUGGCGGGGUAACAGCCCACCAAGGCGACGAUCAGUAGCCGGCCUGAGAGGGUGAACGGCCACAUUGGGACUGAGACACGGCCCAAACUCCUACGGGAGGCAGCAGUGGGGAAUAUUGCACAAUGGGGGAAACCCUGAUGCAGCGACGCCGCGUGGGUGAAGAAGCGCCUCGGCGCGUAAAGCCCUGUCAGCAGGGAAGAAAGUGACGGUACCGUAAGAAUAAGCCACGGCUAACUACGUGCCAGCAGCCGCGGUAAUACGUAGGUAGCAAGCGUUAUCCGGAUUUACUGGGUGUAAAGGGCGAGUAGGCGGGAUUGCAAGUCAGAUGUGAAAACUAUGGGCUCAACCGAUAGAGUGCAUUUGAAACUGCAGUUCUUGAGUGAUGGAGAGGCAGGCGGAAUUCCCGGUGUAGCGGUGGAAUGCGUAGAUAUCGGGAGGAACACCAGUGGCGAAGGCGGCCCACUGGACUGUAACUGACGUUGAGGCUCGAAAGCGUGGGGAGCAAACAGGAUUAGAUACCCUGGUAGUCCACGCCGUAAACGAUGAUUACUAGGUGUCGGGGGACAACAGUGCCCCGGUGCCGGCGCAAACGCAUUAAGUAAUCCACCUGGGGAGUACGUUCGCAAGAAUGAAACUCAAAGGAAUUGACGGGGACCCGCACAAGCGGUGGAGCAUGUGGUUUAAUUCGACGCAACGCGAAGAACCUUACCAAGUCUUGACAUCCUCCUGAAUGAAGGGUAAUGCCUUCAGGCCUUCGGGACAGGAGAGACAGGUGGUGCAUGGUUGUCGUCAGCUCGUGUCGUGAGAUGUUGGGUUAAGUCCCGCAACGAGCGCAACCCUUAUCUUCAGUAGCCAGCAUUAAGGAUGGGCACUCUGGAGAGACUGCCAGGGACAACCUGGAGGAAGGUGGGGAUGACGUCAAAUCAUCAUGCCCCUUAUGACCAGGGCUACACACGUGCUACAAUGGCGUAAACAAAGGGAAGCGAACACGUGAGUGCAAGCGAAUCCCAAAAAUAACGUCUCAGUUCGGAUUGUAGUCUGCAACUCGACUACAUGAAGCUGGAAUCGCUAGUAAUCGCGAAUCAGAAUGUCGCGGUGAAUACGUUCCCGGGUCUUGUACACACCGCCCGUCACACCAUGGGAGUCAGUAACGCCCGAAGCCGGUGACCCAACCGAAAGGAAGGAGCUGCCGAAGGUGGAGCCGGUAACUGGGGUG